AACGAACGCUGGCGGCGUGCCUAACACAUGCAAGUCGAACGAGAAAGGGGCUUCGGCUCCGAGUAAAGUGGCGCACGGGUGAGUAACACGUGGGUAACCUGCCUCUAAGAUUGGGAUAACUCGUCGAAAGAUGAGCUAAUACCGGAUAAGACCACAGUUCCCGCGGGAACAGGGGUCAAAGGUAGCCUCUGCUUGCACGCUAUCACUUAGAGAUGGGCCUGCGCACCAUUAGCUAGUUGGUAGGGUAACGGCCUACCAAGGCAAAGAUGGUUAGCUGGUCUGAGAGGAUGAUCAGCCACACUGGAACUGAGACACGGUCCAGACUCCUACGGGAGGCAGCAGUGGGGAAUAUUGCGCAAUGGGCGAAAGCUUGACGCAGCAACGCCGCGUGAGUGAUGAAGGCCUUCGGGUCGUAAAGCUCUGUCGGGAGGAACGAAUGCUCCCAAGGUUAACAGCCUCGGGAGGUGACGGUACCUCCAAAGGAAGCACCGGCUAACUCUGUGCCAGCCGCCGCUGUAACAC
rnacentral:rRNA from 1 species